UUGAUUUUUUACCUUUGUUAAAAAUGUUAUGAGUACAGGCUAAUAUGUGAAUAUUAUACAAUAAGAAUAUAUACAUAUAUAUAUAUAUAAUUUAUAUUUAACAUUAUAUAAUAUACAGAAUAAUAAAAUAAAUAAAUGAUAGGGCAUAAAUGAACUAGCACAUAGGUACACAUAAAAUACCAGUCAAACAGGCAUGUCAGAAGAGAGAAAUGGGGAGGAGAGGUCAUACAGAGAUAGUGGGAACGCAAUUACAUUUGAAAAGAGGCUAAUUCCUAAGCUAGAAAGCACCAUUGUUUACCUAUCCAGUUAAAAUCAAAUAAGAAAGGAAAACUUCAGUGAACUGCCGCAACAGGGAAUGUUUCCUGAGCUACACUCAGAAUUCUGGGAAUGCCAAGGCCCUUGUGAGUGAGUCAUGCUUGUCACCUAUGAAAGUUUGGGGUUUUUUUGUUUGUUUGUUUUUUGUUUCUUUAGAAUAAGAACAGAAGACAUUAGCCCUUUCCCACCAUGUCCCCAACCCCCAUUUUCUUUCUUUUUUUUUUUUUCAUUUUCCAAACCAUUUCUGGAAGAAUUCGGGUCUCUCCUUUUCUAAACCUUUUAUCCCUUUUCUUUAUCUCACAGUGGUCUCAGGUCUAAGACACCCAUGAGAAAACUAUUAAGGAAUGUAACAAGUAAUUUUGAAAAUGAAGUUUACCAAGAAUCAACGCUAACCAUGGACAAGGGUCAUGCAUUUAGUUGGUAGUGGUGACUGGCUUUGAGAGAUCAUUCAAACUGGCUGAAAUUUUAAAGCAUGUUUCAUCGUCUUUUGUGUAAAGUCUUAGGAGACUUAACUGUCAUUAAUUAGGGGAUAUGUGGCAUGUUUAAGAGAAUAAUAAUGAGAUUAUCUUGGAGUUUUCAUUAACUUUUAGAGGCUAGCUAACAGAAAGUAUACUGCACACCCCCAAAACAGCAAACUGGCAGAGUUCAGAAGUCGUCUUAGGUAAGAAUCUAGGCUGAACUUCGAUAAUGACCUCAAAGCAUGAAGUAGAAUAAUUUGUGAUUUACAGACGUCAGCAGGAAUUGACCCAAACAAGACACAUCCUAUUUCCAUCACUUACUCCUAGGAUGGAAGCUAUUAGAACAGCACAGAAUCCCUGAUCCAAUUUCUUCAACAUAGUGGACAGCACUUCUCUUGUCCUUGCUUGGGAUAAAAGUGUGUAAUGAGAACAACGAUAUGCCAAAAAAAGGGGAAGGGAUCUGUCCUCAGUCUGCAGUAGUCCACAGUGUUUGCCUUAAGGCACUGGCUCUGACUGGCCCUGUCUAUAGCAGGGUUGUAGUGACAGCAGCAUACCUGGUGGCACACCACCUUCAGGGUCACACUCUGGGUUCACAUCCUGACUCUCCUACAUAUCUGUAUGUCUCUAGAUAAUGUUCUGAAUUUUUCUGAGGGUUUCCACAAAUUUCUUUCAUAUAAGGUGGGUCAGCAGGGCACAAUGAUGCAUGACUGUAGUGUUAGUACCCAGGAGGCUAAGUCAGAAGGAUGUCCUGAAGUUCAUGGACAGCCUGUUUUCCACAGCGAGUUCCAGACCAUCCUAGGUUCUAUAGAAAGAUUUUGUUUUGAUAAAAUGAAAGAAGACAAAUGAUUAAACAGGAACCAAUGUCAUAAUACACACUUUCAAGAGUUGUAAUGCGGUAGUAUGCUGUAUAAAGUGUAGCAUCUGGUCAGAGAAACAGACUGGAAACGGUAGCUCUUUAUUACACAUUAAACGCAUUGUCUGAGAAUAAUGAGCUAAUAUGUGGGAUGCUGAAAUCAGGACCCAGAAAGGUCUCACUAGGCUGGACUCAAGGAGCAAAUCUAAUAGGGUGGCCUUUAACAAGGAUAAAUGUAAAAGCAGUGUGAUUCGAUCUAAACAGCAAGUGGCAGACACCCGGUGGGGAGAUGAGUGCUAACAACUGCGCACCUGAACGAAGGCUUGGGCGCAUCAUUGACUCUUUGCUAAUUUAGGAUCAAUGGUAGAAGUCCACCAAAAAGCAUACAUAAGUCUGUGCAUUGUCUGGCACAAAGGAAGAAAUAGUAGCUGUAUCCUCUGCCAUUCCCUGGACCUCACAUGCUUUCAAGGGUGGUGAUAAAUGGAGCUAGGAUUAGGAAAGAGAUGUACAUUUAAACGGAGCAAAACAGGAGGAGGUAAGGAAAACUCAUGAAGGUGCUGGAUCCGUGUUUCUGAACAUUCAAAAAGCAGUAUGUAUAUGAUGAAUAAAAUCCCUUAUAGCAAAUUUCUGGCUCCUACUCUGCUUCGAACUGCGCAGGAGAGCAAGAAGGAUGGGUGUAAGUGCCAGGAAGGAAGAUUGCUGCUUAUGCUACAAAGAACGCACCUUCAAUCAUUAACCCUGUCUCCAAGUGGGGACCUAGUGAAUUCCCCCCAGCGCUGGGAAGGCCCAGGGAGAAGCUGAAGCAUCAUCACCUGCAAAGGAUGCUGUACGGUAACUACACUGUCUCCUAGUUCAAGCUCAGUCUGCCUACCGUAGAAGUCAUAGGCAAAGGUAGAUUCUCCCCUGGGGAGAAGGUUCAGAGCUCUCUUUAGAUCAUUUAAAGAACCUCACAUCCCCUCUCAUCCCUCUCUCAAAAGAUGGAGACGGAAAGCUUGGUUUGAUGCAUCCUGUCAUUCAAAUGUAUACAAACUUCGUUCUCUGCUGUGAUGGUGUACAAUAGAAUGCCACACGUGAGUGACAGCAUUCUGCUCUUCCUGGGGACCAUCCCUUCAGCUUGGGGACUGAGGACUCUGCCAGAGACAAUAGUCAAAGUCCCUCAACCAUGUUCGCAGUCCUCUCAAAGUGGUGUUUUCCAGGGUCACCAAGGACUCCAAGGGGAUGAGACACCAAAGCCACAGACAUUCCGUAAAACCCUACCAAGGCCCUGGGAACUGUUUAUCUCUGGCCCUGACCUCUCCAAGACCCUAUCCCGCCUGUCUAUUAUGGGAUAGGUGUGUGAACUAAAAUGUCCUGAAACGAGAUGCCAUGGAAACUGCAGGAAAAUACCUUCACUUAGUUCAUGAAAACCCAAAUCAGCAGCUGCUUGUGCCUGUAUGCACACCUCCAUUAAACUGUCAGGCUGCUUUACAUUUAUUUACCCUCCAUGUACUGCCUGUUUAUUGGGCUAAUAAAUUGGAGGCAGUAAUAUCUACUCACCAAAACCCUACCUGUCUUCCAGGGCCUGGCUGUCACCUUACAUUCUCCAGAUGUCUCCCCAGGUACUCUGCACAUGGAAAACACGCUAUUCUCUGAACAGAGGAGCCAUCUACUGUGUGUGCCUCUUAUUAAGCACUGGCUGUUUACCUCUCUGGUUGUUACUUCUCUGGAUUCUUUUACUUAGCUGGAUUUUCUAGUUUUCAACUAGCUGAAGUCUUACCUGAUGAAGCCAUUAAUUCUUGCUUACUGGGGCGGAGCCAAAGCUCACGAUUGACUUUCACUGUGAGAUUUAGAGGCAUGAGCGUCCGGUUGCUAAGUAGGGAGUCAUAUACCUAUCUUGGGGUCUUUAAAAAAAUGUUAGAGCCAGAUAGAGCCACACACAGGAAGGCAGUCUGCUUUGCCAUGGCCUGUGGAUUCACCCAGUCUCCCUGGAAAGAACAGAAAGAGGGAGACAGAUCCCACGGGUUUUCACAUUGUAGACUUGACAUUAUGGUUUUAGGGUUUUCCAAGGUCUAAUGGCUCCAAGGAACACUGUAGGUCUGGCCUAGCUUUUUGAGACAGAGUCUCAUUAUGUAGCACUGGUUGUCUUGAAAUUUGUUUUAUGUCCCAAACAAGCCUUGAAAUCACAGAGAUCUGUCUGCCUCUUCCUCCCACAUGCUAGAGAUGGCAUGCACACACCAUCUGGCUUGUUCCAGAGCAUGUAACCAGAGGGGUAAAUAGUUGGUGCUUAAUAAGAGAUGUACAUGGUAAAUGCAGCUGUUCCGAGAAUAGCACGUUCUCCGUGAGAAGAGCACCUGGGGAGACAUCUGGAGAAUGUACGGUGACAGCCAGGCCCUGGAAGACAGGUAGGGUUUUGAUGAGUGGAUACCACUGUCUCUACAAUUGAACUCAGAUUCUCAGCUUGCACAUGGCUUGGCAUCUUUAUGUUGUGCCAGAGACACAAGAACAGACUUUCAAACUCUCAACCAAGGCCAGUUCUUUUGCUCAUAGCCAAAAGAGCUUUCUCCCAGUCAGUCAGACCCAACCAAACAUAGAGAAUCACUGACUUAGAUGAGGAAAUGGAGUUGAGGUUUGACACAGUUGAAAUCUAUAGUUGCUUUAAAAGUGGAACAGCUUGCUGUCUACAAUUACCUGACUCAGAACAUUGGUUCUGAGAGGGACCAAAAAGCUGAAUAGACACCCACAUUUACCUUCUUCAGGAAGCAUCCUGUUUCCAACUGGCCAUUACCUAGACAUAGGCUGCCAGGUUCAAAUUAUGAGCAAGUGUCUGGGUAUAAACCAAGACUUCUCUGAGGGCCUUUCUCUAAGUCCAAGCCAUGAUGCAUGUUUAAAGCUAGCCAGGAUUCAUGAGACACCAAAGAGCCCAAGGCCAGAGAAUUCCUUUACAUCUCCAACCCCAACCCAGGCACUCCCUACCCUCAGAAUGCUAGUUCUUCUGGCCCCUUCUAUCAUUUGGACAGUGUUGUUUGCAAAUCAAACUGGCUCCCAAGGUCAGAGAAGUCUAGUUCUCCUCUCCUAUUCUCCUCUGUGUAGGGCUCUCAUGGCUGAGGCAAGCAUUUGAACUCAGGGGUAGGUAAAGCUGACAUUAGAGCAGAAGCAUGCUACUUGCCUGUGAAGCCUGCCUCUGCCACCUUCCACACUCCCUCCUCCACCCACUGGCAAGAUGCAAGCAACACCAGCUGGGUCAGCAUCCUUCCCUACGCUGCUGCCAUUAUGGCCUCUCAGAAACCCAAGGCCACACCAUAGGAACAAAGGACAUCUCAACGUGGACGUUGGCUACAGUCAUUUAGAAGUCACCUUGGGCCAAUAGCCAUUUUCUUAAGCUAGUACUGUACCCAUCUGGAAAUCUCCAUUUGGCUGGGAGCUGUUCUAUUCUUUCUCUUUCUGCCUUUUCUCUUCCUACCACACAAAACGCUCGAGACCCACCUGAGACCUAACAUUUGUCUGUUUUGAGAAUAGAUGAGUAUUUAUUAGAAUUAAACAGCUGGGAGCCCCGUGAUAUUUAGACGGGUAUUAGGAGGAAUGUAUGAGAAGAAGAUAAUGCUGGGUCUUUUUGUCUGUAAACCAGUCUGGGCUUAGUUACUGAGGGGAUUUCUUGGAUCUCCUGUGAGCGCCAGAUACAGUUAAUUUCCUGCAAAAGCUGCGGGCUAGGCCGUGCUGAUAUUGCAGUGUUAUUUAGAAUAGAAAGGUCAGGCCUGAGAUUGAAUAAUCACUGACAAGAAAUCCACAGGGCAAAGGAGGCAGUUGGUGAGUAGUCAGACUUAUUUCUCCCUUCCCCGACUUCCCUUCAUUCCUGGGUAUCUGUUGAUUCUGGAGUUUGUUUAAUAUUCUUUUUGCAACUGUUUCCCAAAUUCGGAGCUGGUAGGAGAUGUGUGUUGAGACAAAGAGGGGACAGAUUCCAAGCCAUCAAUGGAGAUGGGACAUUUAGUCUCAUAGACUGGGUCUAUUUAUUCUGGGCCAUUGGCCUUGGGUACCUGUGUAUGAAUUUUUCCGACCAUACAUGGUGGUUUUUCUUCUCAACAGUUUGAAGCACCCUGUCCCUAAACAUGGUGCUUUCUUUUCCUGCAUAGCAUCUGAGCUAUCCACCGUGUGGCCCAGUUUAAAGUCUGCCCUGUGUCUGGAGGCAAAUAUCAGCCUCUGAAAAGCAUAGAGGAGAAUCCGAAGAAUGGAACAUGUGUCGUGUGUGAGGCUGGAGUAGUUUAUGAAUUCUAGCACCCAUGGGAGUCCCGCUUUACUAAUGGGAAAGGCACCAGAGAAACUGGAUGGCUUGCCCAAGACUUCUCAGUUCCUGCACAGCAGAGUAAGGGUGUAAAAGCUGGGGAUUUCUAGGUACCAAGUUCAUUGCAUCCUUCAAAGGGUCCCAGUCUCAAUGGGGACGUCUCAGGGGUUCUGUCCUCUUUCCCUUUAUCCAGUCACCCUAAGGGGUUUCUUGGAAAUUUUAUUUAAUACAAGAGUUUCUCUCUUGUAUUAUUAUUAUUAGCUGUCCCCUGGGAUGACUGAUCCUACAAAUUAAGUGGCGUAGACUUGAGACCUGUUUGUAAAGAAUGUGGAUGGGCGAGAGGAAUGUUGGCACCCCUUUUGAUUCUCAGAUGCCACAUAGUUUAUUUAUUUUGAAAUUCUUUAUUUCAUGUUUGGACUUCAUCAAGAGGACUGUGAAUCUGAGGCCAGACUGGGAUAUACAGCAAGUUCAAGGCUAGCCUGGGCUACAUAGUAAGAUGCUGACACCCCCAACCCUCCAAAGUAAAAAAAACAAGACUGGGCAUGAGUAGCUCACACCAAUAAUCCUAGCACCUCAGUGUUGAGGCAGGGGGAGUAUCAUGUAUUUGAGGACAAUCUGGAUUAUAGAAUGAGAUUCUACCUCAAAGCUUGUGGCCACACAUGUGCACAUGCACGUACACACACACACACACACACACACACACACACACACACACACACACACACUAAAAGACCUAAGUGGAUGAAGGCAAAGUUGGGUACUAGAUUAGGUACUGGAAUGAUUCCUUAAACUUAGAGGUCAUCUUGCUUAAUUUGGCAACGGUAUGGGUACAAAUAAUAAAACAAUCAGCACGUCAUCUAUCUAUCAUGAAUUGUGAGUUGGCACCUAGGUUAUGGUGAAAGGCCUUCAAGCAUCCUGAGUACAGCCAGCUAAGGGCCAGAGCACGUGAUUCUGAGGAUAAGGAAAGGCAAAAGGUUAUAAGGUCAGGCUUGGAAUGCUAUGUCUAGGUUUCUCCCAAUUUAGGCACAGAUAGCAACAAGUAAUGAUAUGACUUCAUGACACUAUAGCUUUAGCACACACUGGCCCGUCUGUUGAUGUCAUCAUAGUGUUCUGGCAUCUGGUGACAUUUCUCAUGCUUUUCAUAACUCUGGGCUUGAAUCAUGAGGACCAUAUAUGACAGGUUGGGCUGAAGGGAGAACAGAUCGUGGACUCCUGUCAUCCUUAGCUGACAGAGACAUAAUAGCAAGAUUAGAUUGCCAAGUCAUCUGCUUUAUGCAAAUUCAGUUCCUAAAUUGAGACACAGUGUGGCGAUUCCUGUUCCCAAACCAGGUAUCUAGUAAUGAGUACAAACAUCGCUUGGGGUUGACGGAGGUUUUGACACAGCACAAGUGCUUAAAAGCCAUGAUCUGGUGGCUGCUACAAGAACCAGGACCUUGGAGUCCCAAGUUUGACCUCCAAUGGGACUCUCCUUUCUCUGUGCCUAGCAUCAGUAUCCUGAAGCUACAAAGCAUAAGGUUGUACACUGGCUUUGAGUGUUUAUCUUUCAAAAGCCUUGAGUCGUUUAGUGCAGGAAGGUGGCUGCUAGCUUUUGUCAAUGCAGCUGUACGUGAGUUAUGAUAGUGAGAGGAAGUACUGAUACACAGAGCAGGAGCCUGUGUGCCCAGGGAGUGGUGAAACCAGACUCUCGGCUCCGGCUUCCUUACUUUGUGCCUUACAGAAAGUCGCACACCCUCUCUGAACUUCCGUGUUUCCAUUUGUGACGAGUGGAACCUCGGAACCUCGGCACCUACUUAAAGCUGUUGAGAAAAGCGUGUACAAACCCUUAGAACUCCACCUAUUUCACAGUAAGCACAAAUAUGUGGAUAGGUGCUUCUCCAGCCUUGCCAAGCAGGCACAUCUGAGAAGCACCAUUUGAGUGCCAGGAUCUAUGGUAAGCACACAAAUUAAUUAGGAGGCAACUGGCUUCUGACCUGGCUCUAGCAAUGGAAGCUUCAGGCUUCCGAGACCUGGAUGUGGUUCCACAAGCCAACCUUAGAAUGAGUCUUUGGGCUGUUUUAGGGCAGCACGAACUGACUCUCUGACUCCAAAUAGAUUUAUUGCACACCUCUAGGAGGCAGGCACCUCCAUUAGUAAUUUGUCCCGUAGCCCCUGUGUCUGGGUUUUAUUUCUUGCAGAAAUGGAACUGUGACACCUGCCCCCUUUGGGUUCAUGCAAUGGUUGUGAUGCUCCAAAGGAAUAUGUCAGCACAACUUUUGAAAUGCUUGACACAUCUGUGGUACCAACAUUCGAACCAUGACAAGUGUCACCUCUGUAGGUUGGUGGCCCUGUUGUCAGAUGGCAAACACCCCCCCCCCCACUUCAGAGAGAGUGCAGAUGAGAAGGAUGACCUCGAAAAUACAAUCUCUGUGGUGCCAUCUGGCAUCCUCUUUGCCUUUGAUUUAUUAGUGCCCGCCUCUCCCUGUGCGGUACCAUAAAGGCAGGUUGUGUGACACCUUUACUGUCUGGCACGACACGAAGCAGCAUGAUCUCAUGCAUGCAGGGACAAGGUGUGGAGGCUCACCUCUGCCUCCCUCCACAGGAUUCCAGGCUGCGCCUGGCCACACGUACUGUUCAGGAACCACUGGCCAUUCUAGCCGCUCUGGAAAAGGUAGAGAUGAGCCAGGGCAGAAACAGGUCAGCCAAGGUCCAGCCAGGUGGGAUGUGUCUCGACAACCUGUCACGUCCCCCUCUUCCAGGUUGUUCUGGUGCCUGCCGUCCCUGAAGUUUAUAGGUGUCAUUACCUAUGAAAAAUCUCUUCCAUCUGAAGAUAGUCCGGGCUGGGGAUGGGUGGCAGAUUGCAAUUUAAUGACCAGAUUAAAAUAUGCUAAAGCAAACAAACAAAUAAAUAAAAAUCCCAGCAGCCCGGAGCUCUGCAAUUCAUUCUGUGGGCAAGAGAGGCUGGGGCUCCAGGGACCGGCUCAUAAUUCACCCCAUCGGCAGGUUUAGUAGGCUGUUACUGUAUGACCACAAGGGGAAACAACUCUCUAAGAAAGAUUUACACUGACUGCCACUGGAGGCUGAAGGGCUAGGGGCCAGGAGUAGAGGAUUUGGGAAACAAACAGGUCCUGAUGCUAACCAUGGGAAACACCAGCCCCUACACUGACCCGUGCAACAAGAGAGGUUCAUAUUCCCUUCCUUUUCUGAGUUCUCCCUGACCCCUAUGUUGCUCAGCAGGAUUAAGUCACUCCUUCUCAUGGCAACUGAAACCAAGGUCAUAAUGCCACCUAUUGAAAUGGAGGCUCGGUUUUCUAUCUCUGUCUUAACAGACUCGCUUGUUUUCGAAGGGUAGGGAAAGCAGUGUUCUUUUGCUAUUCUUGAUUUCAGGUAUAAUUUUGAGUCACUGUUCAGUGAGCGAACGUGUGAGUGAGUGGUAUGUGUCGGGAUCUGUGUGACUCAGGGGGAGUCACAGCCUGUUAGCAUCUAACAGGAACUGGUUCUAGACUCCAAGGAGAUACCAAAAUCCAAGGCUGUAUAAAAUGGUAUAGUGUUCUCACCAUGUAACCUGUAAAUAUCUUAUGCUUUUAGUCAUCUCUAGAUAAUUUAUACUAUGUACUGCAAUGUAAAAGUUGCUUAACUGUCAUUUUUUAAAAUAUUUUUUAAGUGUGUGUGUGUGUGUCUGUCUGUCUGUCUUUUUAUGUUCAGGGAUCUGACAAGUUUUCAGGUGUCUGUGGAGGUCAGAAGCAUCAGAUCUCCUGGAGUUGUAGUUAUAGGAAAUUGUGUCACCUUAUGUGGAUGUUGGGGACUCCAUUCUUUGGGAAGAGCAAUACUCAUUCUUCACCUUGGAGCUAUCACUGCAGCCCCCAAAUUGUUGUUAUUGGGGGUUUAGGGAACAAUGACCAAAAAGUCAGUGUCUGUUCAAUAUAUAAGUAAUUUAGAAAUAUUUUUGACCCUUUGUUGAGGUCAUAGAUACAGAGCCUGCAGGGGUGACAGGCCAGCUGUGCUGUGUACACACUCUCAUUUAGUGAAGAAAAGGUGGGAAAAUGACAUUAAGACCAGCCUUUGCCUCUUUGGCCUUUGAUUUCUCGAGGAACUGUCCUUUGAUUUUCCUGGCCUGCAGGUCUACUCCCUGCCAGUUCCUCUCUUGAAGCAUAAUCCUUGUCCCUGCUGGUCCUUGUCCUCUGCUGAACAUUCUCUUUGUUGUCCCUUAUUACAUGUCUAGCUAAUUUGACAGUUUGAGCGUUCAAGGCAGUUACUACUUAAAAAGACAAUGUUGACCCUAUUGACUAAUUCAGUUUUCUUCAUUAUAGAUGCUCAUAGGAUCGUAUCUAUCUUACCUAUCCAGAUAAAUAACAGGUAGAUAUUACACAGGCACUCUCAGUAGAUGGUGAGCAUUGUCACAAGAAGGACUAGGUAGUGUGUGUGUGUGUGUGUGUGUGUGUGUGUGUAUGCAUGCAUGCACGUGUAUGCAUAUAUGUACUUAUGUGUGUAUAUGUGGACAUGAGUGUGUGGGUGUACACAAAAAGGCUUAGAGACACAGGUUAACCUCCCAUGUCUUUCUCAGUAUGUCUGUCUACCUUGUGUUCUGAGACAGGGUCCUUCACUGGCAUAGAACUAGGCUGGCUGGCCAGUAAGUCCCAGGGGAUCUGUCUGUCUCCUCUUCCCCAGCACUGGGAUUAGAAGGGUGCAACAUUGCAUUUUAGUUGGCUUCUGAGGCUCAAACUCAGGUCCUCAUGCUCGUGUGGCAAGCACAGUACUGGUGGAGCUGUUAACUCAGACUCAGCCUUCUUCACUCGUCAUCCUAGCACUCCGGUUGACACAUCUCCAUGGAGACAUCAAAAGUUCGGUGCUUAGUGGAAUGUUACAUCUCCAUAGGGUCUUCUCAUUUCUCAUGAAAAGACAUCUAUGCAGCUCUCCUUUCCCCUAUCCUGCCACUCUAUGACCUGUCACCUUUGCCCACUGAAAUAUAUGCAUGGUGAUUUCAGACACGGAGCCCCAUAGAGCUAGAGCAUGGGGCAGCUCUUCUCUAAGACCUGGCAUGGCUGGCGAUUGCUGCUGUACUUGAAGGGAAGAGAAGGGUGAGGAGCUCCGAGGUUAUCACUCAUUUCUACCCUUUGGGGAAACUUUGUUUUCUAUUCACAUCCAGCAAAUGAUGCUCUUGUACCAGUAACAAAUGUCAAGUGUUCUUCCUGGGACUUUGGGGAGACAGAGCAUUAGCAAAGGAGGAACAAUCCAGCAAAAAGGACAGGAGUUCUAUUUAAGGACAGGGAAGCUAAGUAACAAAUGUCACCCUGAGACACCAGGGAGACAGCUUUGCAUCAACAACCAUGAGUGCAGGGAAGAAAAAAAGAAGAAGAAGAAUAUGCCCACGGCGACCUGCGAUUAUCCUGGCUGCCUGCUUUCUAGAAUAUUCCAGGAACCUCCCUCUCAUGCUUGAUGUGAUCCUUAGCUCUCAGCAUUACCUUAUCUAUGGGCUAUGGUGCUGUCUGAGCUGAGUGUUGGGGGCCAUGUAGGGAAUUAGUGGGAGCUGCACACCAACGCUGACAUACACUUGAAACAGCAUUGCUAAUAAGAACACUGUGGCUCCAGCCCACAGUGGUUUGGCGUACGUUACAUUUCUUUGUUUAUUUAUUCAUUGAACAGUGGUGAACCCUGCUCAGUGGUAAGUGUGGGAGUCAUUGUUCAGUCCCCCUCUAUUCGAGGUUGGAACUGGGAUAAGGUCUUAUCCACCUUUCAUCCCCACUGAGGGUAAAGGAAAUGAGCUCCAAUUGGGGCUAGGGGAGGGUUCUCAGUUCAUAAGGGAGCAGGGAGAGGGUAAGUAAUUCCAACCAAGGCCCACGAGUGUUAGAUGAACAGGGUAACUGGAAUUCUGUCAGGUCUCAUGAGCCAUUGAACACAUCUGCACUGUGCAGUGAAAUCCAGAGAGGGUCUCUUGCAGGGUGAGCUUCCUUUUGAGUGAAAGAUAUUUGUACUUUUCUCCCCCAAAAGCAAAGUGCUGUGUGUGUGCAUGUAUUCUCAAGAAUGCAAGUAGGGGAGCAGGUGUGUAUGAGUGUGCACUUAUGUGUACUAGCACGUGUGAAGUCACAAGUCAACUUUGGUUGUCGUUUCUCAGAAACUGUCUACCUUUGGUUUUUUGAAACAGUCUUUCAUUAGCCUGAGUCUCUCAUCAAUCCAGUUAGGCAAGGUGGCCAAUAAACUCCAGGGAUCCACCUGUUUUUAUGUCCCCAGAAAGGAGAAACAAGCAUGUGCCACUGUGCCUAUUUUUAUAUGGGUUCUGGGAUUAUAUUUGCACAUCACAGACUUGCACAGCUGAGCCAUCUCCCCAGUCCCUCAAAGGUACCAUUUUAUCAUACCAGGAACUCUCUGGGCCCACACCACCAUCAUCUUUGGCCCAAAAUACUGUCAUCAUCUCUUCAGUGGGUCUUUAUUUCCAAACUUGUUUGCUUGUAUCCUAUUUGCAACAGCUGACAGAGCCAUACUCUCAAACUUGAAUCCCAUCACACUAUCAGUCCUGUGUCCCCACUUCCCCAAGGCCUACAAACUCAUGUUCAUCUCAGGUCUGUGCUGCCGUCCACCAUUAAUUUUCUGACCAUAGCACCCAUCUUAGUUACUUUCUAUUGCAGUGACAAGAUACCAUGAUCAGGGCAACUUACAAAAGUGGGAAUUUUGGGGGUGUGUUUGUGUGUAUUGCAAUUUCAGACGAUUAAUUAAAGUCAUAACCUUCACGGUGGGGAACAUGGUAGCAGACAGACAGGCGUGACACUGGACCAGUAGCUGAGAGUUUAUGCCUUGACCAACAGGCAAGAGUGCUAAUUGGGAAUAGUGUGAGCUUUUGAAACCUCAAAAUCUACCUCUAGUGACGCAUCUUCUCCACAAAGGCACACCUAUUAAUCCUUCCCAAACAGUUCUACCAAUGAGCGGGCAGCUACUCAAACAUAUGAGGCUAUGGGAGGGAUUUCUCAUUUAAAUCACCACAUUCUAUUCCCCACUCCCCAACCCCCGUAUGUUAUGGCCACCUCAUAAUGCAAAAUGCAUUUAGUUCAACUUCAAAAGUCCCCAUAGUCUUUCAGUCCCAACAUGAUUUAAAAGCCCAAAGUCUCAAAUGAGACUCAAGGUAGUCUCUUAAUUGUAACCUCCUAUGAUAUCAAAAAUUGAAUUAGAUUAUUUCAGCAUACAAUGGCACAGAAUAUAUAUUAUCAAUUCAAAAUGUCAGAAGGAUGAAAUGCUGGACUCAAGCAAGAUGGAAACCUAGAAGGAAAACUCCAACCUUGUACAUCCAUGCCUGGUGUUAAAGGACUCAGAAGACUCUGACUUCCCAGGUUGGCCGACCGUAAUAGCACCUAAUCGCUUCCUCCUCACUGAGCCAGAUACUCUAUUUACCUUGAAAUUCCUCAAAUCUCUUAUGUAUUCUCCAGCAUCAUGGCCUUUCAUGGGAUAGUCUUUCUUUCUGGAACAAUCUUAGUUAUCUUAGUGGGUUGCCUUGGUGUCCUGCAGCAUUUGUUCAAAACCACCUUGUCAUCCUGUGUUCAGGAUGUCUUUGUCUUGGCUUAUCACAUUGCCUCUGCCUGCCUCUCUUACCCUUCUGCCUGUUUGGUUCACUCUUUUCUUUACUGCAUCCUUCCCUUCCCACUAGAACUAAAGCUCCAUUGUAAUGGAAAACUGAAUCACGUGCUCUAACAGUGCCAGGUCAGUGGCUGAGGACGGCAGUGAACAAAGCCAAAUACAAAAUCAUAAAUGACUUAUGAUGUUAUGAGGUCUUUGUUGCAAGUGUAAGUGUGUGUGUGUGUGUGUGUGUGUGUCUGUAUGCAUAUAUGUAUGUGUUUAUGUAUGUAUGUAUACAUGUAUGUAUGGAACAGCAUAUCCACAUCCACAUAUGCACACAGAGAUAAAGGUCAAUGUUGGGUGUCUUCUUCAAUUGCUGUCUGCCUUAUACUUUUUAUCCAGGGUGUCAUUUAGCCUGUAACUUACUGCAGGGGUAGGAUGACUGGGCACUGACCCCAGGGAUCUACUUGUCUGCCUCCCUAGUACCAAUGUACACCAUUGUGCCUGCCUUCUAUACGUGGCUUCUUUGGGUAACUGAACUCAGUCUCUCAUGCUUGUGUGACAAGUCCUUUACCAGCUGAGCCACUGCCCCAUCCUCUCAAUAACCUAAACAUUUUAAAGAAAUCACACACUUAAUCUUUAGAAGUGUGUACAUGGAACUGCUCUUAAAGAAUUCUGAGGUUAGACUAUGAUAGUUCGUUUCACACCUGCUCCAUGCUUUCUCGGAACGCCCUGUUUCUCUUAGAACCCCUUUUGCUUUUGGACUGCUAAGUGCUGUGGUCUCCCUUUAGAGUAAUAAAGUCUCAGAGCCUUAUUUCAGUGGCUUCAGCAUCUCUCUCUCUCUCUCUCUCUCUCUCUCUCUCUCUCUCUCUCUCUCUCUCUCGACGUUUCUUUCUCUCCUUAACACCUCUCCCAUAAUACUUUGUUCUUCCGUAUGCCCUUCUCCUGUUCUCUCAGUUCUCUUUCUUUGUCCUCUCUCCCCGCACUUUCUCCCUGCUCUUCCUCCCUCUUCCUGAACACCUUUCCCAUUUUCUUCCUACUUUCCCCCAUUGGUUCCCUUCUUUCCUCCCUCCUUUCUCUCUUCCCCUCCUUUCUUUCUGUUUCUGGAUACCUACUAAGUGACCAGUGUGGCAAUUUGUUCUGCUUUUCUUUGUAGGAGUCAUGUGGUCCUUGGGGGUCUGAUGGUUGAUGUAAGGAGAUGAGACACUUACUAGAGAGAUUGUGGUAGAUCCAAAUACAGUGGGAGAGCUUGGAGCAGGGAAAGGUGAGCCUGGGAAGCACGGAGGCUUUCCCGAAGACAGACACCUGCCUGAAGAAUAAGUGGGGCUGCAUGUGUGAGGGUGGCAGUGUGGCAACUGUCAUUCCAGGUGUUUGACGUCAUGAUAUCGAGAACAAAUAAGAAAGGAAGAAAAAGCUAGAUCUGGGCUUUCUGUGGAUGGUAAGAGAAGAUAAUCCCUGAAUUAAGCCUGGAGGGAUGAGUAGCAAAGGGCCCUGAGAAUUCCAAAUAUUUCUUUUUUUAUUCAUCCUAAUAUUGUUUUCUUCAUCACUACAGAGCAACCUGGUUUAAGACAUCAAUUGCUGGUGGAUUCUAGUGAUCUCAGGAACUAGUGCUUUCCUAUCAGCCAGUUACUAGCCAGCACAUUGGAAAUGGGUGUAAAUUAAUUCCUGUGUGACUUGCGGGGAGGUGGUGUAACAGCUUCCCUGGCGAAGUUCAGUUCUAUCAUUCCUUUGUAUUACUUUUGAAUAGUGUAGAUUCCAGUCUUGGAUCCUUCCCUGGCAUUUGAUCAUUUCAAAUAUUCUGAUGGCAGCAUUUCCUCUGUCCCUUAAUAGAUUAUUUCAAGUCUUUCAACUGUAAGAUUGUUCUUAUUUAAACCCACAGCUGUUCCCAUAAUUUCAACCUAAUUCUGUUUCCUCUUAGUUUAUGUCUUUGUUAAUGGAUGUAAGGUUUUAAAUUCUUCCUCAAACUUCUACGUGGACAAGUAGAGUUGCAUUCAUCCCAAGACCCCAGAAGUUCUAUUGACUUUUGCUCUGUCUUCAGGAUGCUUUGACCUAAUCUUCUAUUUUCUGGGAAUGGAAAGUGUCUCUUGGUACAUGGGAUGUGGCCACAGCAGGCUUGCUCAUUGAAGAAGUGCAAGAUAAGUAUAGAAGACAGGUGUCUGUCUGAUGACUACAAUGUCUUAAGCAACAGUCUCCUGAGGUAACGGCCCAGGGAACUCAGCAGAGAUCUUGCUAUUGAUAAGGAAAGUCUUGAGUAGGGAAUAUAGUAAUUCGGAAUAAAGUAGGAACAUGUGAAGAAGCAGGGCAGUGGAUCUAGGAAUAAAAGAUUGGGUUUACAUCAUUGAAGGUCAAGGCGCAGGGAUAUGACUGCAGUAAAGUUGAGUGUGGAGGAUGGGUGGUGAAUGCUGUGGAAUCACAUGCAGUGCAUCCUACAGAGUCAGCAGUGUGAACAUGAAGGAAGUCAAAACCUCCCAGGGCCUGUAUCCUGCUCUGCCCUUAGAAGUUCCUGGAGGCUGGGUCAGGUCAGGCUUUCACACAUGACCUAGUACUUGCUUUGUUCCAACAUAUGAUUCCCAUAAAACUGCUUCUCCAUGUGUGGACUGCUAAGAAGCUACAGAUCCCCAACAUUGCAAAUCAACCCAAAUGCUAGCACUCGGAGAGCAGUUUCACCUGAGGGGAGAUUUUACAUAUUGAGAUAUUGUGAGCAUCUUUUCUCCCUGUAGUGAAAUCUCUGCCACCUUAGUAAUAAUAAGGCCCAGAAAUGAGCAGAAAGAGAAAAUGGGAAUUCAUAUUCUGCAGUAUAUAUUUCAGUGGCUUUGUACUUUUAUACUAGACCAACUCAGCCUGUCCGACUCUGAAGCAUGGAGUCAGCUAUUUUUUUGAAGAAUAUAAAAUUUCCUUAAUAUACAAGAGCCUGACAUGCCUGGUGGGUCAGAAUAUUUCAUGCUAUCAUUUGGUUAGGACAUACAAGUUUUUUUUUAACUUCAUAUAGUUAUUCAUGUCCCCUUUUAGACUGUCCAAAGCAUGGGUGUGUCAAGUAUUUCAUUCAUUGUAAAUUCUCCCGCUUUUUUUAAAAAAUAGAAACACAGGAUCUAUGUAGGAAACAUGUGAAACCUGCAACAUGGGAAUGUUAGGUUAGCAUUGUAGGAGAAGUGUGCAUCUUGGAAACAUAGAUUUGUUCUCAACAUUGUCACUUGGGUGUGUGUGGGUGUGUGUGAGUAGAUGAGUAGAUGGUGGGGGAAGUGUAUUUCCUGAUGCAAAAGAAUGAAGGCUGUUCAUGAAUGAAGAAGAAGUGAGCUCCUACAUGCUCACUUACUCUAUGGUUAACGGGAAGAAACAUUUUCCUGUAUUUCUACAAGUUCGGGGCUAUGAAAGGCCUCUAAAAGGAACACACUGGGACUAAGAAUCAGAUUCAUCAAGAUUUUUCAAGAAGAAAUGGGAUAAUUUUUUUAAAAAAAAUUGCAAUUUUGUGAUCAAAUUUAGAAUUUUAGAAGCCACAGGGAAAGUCAAGGAGAAAUGAGGGAGAAAUGAGGGAGUGAUAGUUGGGAUAUUUUAGCAGUCAUUUGGAAAAACUGGAAAAAGAGACAGAAGGAGAAAAAGGAGGGUGGAGGGAAGAGGAGGGGGAGGAGAAAUGGGAGGCACAUGGAGGAGAAGGGGAAGAAGGAGAAGCGAUAAUCAUAGCUAAUAUUUCUUUUCAGUAGAAGCAGGACCGAGGAGGCUAUUCUAAUUGGUAAUAGUUCAAGGAUGACAAUGUGCAGUGAAAUAUAUUGGUGGAAGAACACUAAUAAGGAACACAUCUUUCAACUUUACUGUUUGACAGGUAUUGUUCUGAGUGCUUUCAUGUAUUAACUCAUUUAAUCCUUCCAGGAGCCCUACGAGGUAGAUACCGGGUUUAACCAUAUCUCUUUGUGAAGGAAAUGGAGACACAGAGAGAUUAAACAAUCUAUCAAAGGCCAUAUACCCUAGUGAUAAAACGGGAAACCUGCAGAGGGUGAACAUCCCUUGCCCGAUAUGCCCAGGAUCAGCCAUAUUUUUGUACUUUGUAUUUUUUUUUCAGAUUUUGAAAUACUUUUUUUUUAUUUAGAUAUAAUGAGGUAUAUUUGGAAGGAGAUCAAAUUCUACACAUAUAACGCAUUUAUGUUUCAGGUACAUUGCACAUUCGCAGUCUGUAAAUAAUUCUGUUUACUUUUAGUGCUAAGCAUUGCAUGAAGUGUGUGUGGAGUCGCACACACUGGAGUCCAGAUCUUCCUGUUGGAGCACUCAACUUUGAUCUCCCUUCCCUCGGGGCAACUGGACUCCUUGAAAGUUCUGAGUGAUGAGUGGCUGGGCACUGCUUUCUUCUCAGGAAAGGACUGUCAACAACCUAAAAUUCAUGCCCCGGAGAAAGGACAGAUGCAGAUCAGCAAAGGACUCCACCCCAAUUUCAGGAUGCCUUAGAAAAUAACCGAGAAGUCUGAGCCGAGUUCGGAAGUUGAACCCCAUCACAGGCUUGUUCAUCGCCACAAGGUCUAAGUAGUAUUGGGGGUUUGCACCACUAAGGAUCGCUUCUAGAAAAGGACCACCUUACUGAGGCUAGUAAGAGAAUGGCCACCUAUAGCCCCAGACACCUCAGGAGAGAAACAGAAAGAGAAUGCUGGGUAAGUCACCCACGAAAAUUUGACAAAAAUAUUAAAUAAUGGGAACUUGUCACCUGCAGACCCAUCUCGCUAGUCUUCACAACUCUUCUUGUGAUGAUUCUGCCGCACAACUAAACUAUUUAGCUUACAGUAUUGGCUUUUUAAAAUACACGUGAAUUAGGUAAGUUAAUGCACACAGAGUGCUUCACACCAAAAAGCAACUCAGUGUUAGCAAUUAAUACAAUUAUAAGUGUCAAUUUAGCCUGUUAAUUUCUAUUAUUGGUUUUUAAUUGUCCUUUAAUUUACUAUUUUAUAUGAUUUUUUUAUUUUUAUUACUACUUAGUCUGUUGUUUUGAACCCUUGUGUCCUUGCUGAUGGCGUUUAUUUAACCACUUGUCCCAGCUUACUCGCUUUUAUUGUCCUCCUUUAGUACUUGUGUAUCUCAACUGUUUUUAACCCUCAUUCUGUAUCCCAAAUACAGUUUCAUCAGACCCCUGCCAACUUUGUCCUGUUGUCCCUUUACAAGUGAAUAGUGUAUUUCUAUUUCAUACUUCUAUUUCUUACUGUCUCAUGCUUUAAAAAUUAUUAACCCUUGCCAUAUAUUUCUCCGUUUAUCUUCCUUAAUUUUAUUCAAAUGAUAUCAUAUUCAUAUCCCUGUGCCUUUACUCUUUCUAACUUGUCUUUGAAGUGUUAUGUGCAUAAGGAGGAAGGAAACUUGAUGAAGGUCCUGGGCCACCAAGGUGAAGGAGGCUUUCUUAUUCUUUGUCUCCAAGAAAUGUCUCUUAAGUAGAUGCUGUUCCAGUUUCUUCCCCGUGGACCUUUCAGCUCCUAACACCGUCAUUUAACAUGCAAAAGCUAUUAAAAUCUUCACAGGCAAAAGCCACGCCCCUUCUCCCCUUCUACUGCUCUCCAGAUUAGAAAAAUAAGUACUGGCAACAAAUCUACUCUGAUAUGAGAACUCUACAUGCCAGACGUGAGCUUUCUUCCCUCCUGUCACAAUGAACCUCCCGAUCUCUGUAAGGGAUGCUUGGUAUAUGAUCUCUCAUCGCUUCUGGAUUUCAUGGGGUCUCGGAGUAAGAAAUCAUCACCAAGGUAAAGGGUAGGCAUAUGCAGGAUAGGACUGCUCUUAUCAUUGUCCAGCUUUAAUUUUGAUGACGGAAUUGACGAAAUGUAAGCCUUCAGAGAGGAUACCCAACAGAGGAGGGAUUCAGUUCUUAAGAAUUCAUUGCCAUACCCUUUAUGUUCCAAAAUAAUGUAUCCCAGGGCAACUUAACAGAUGUUUAUAAUGCAAGGACGUUGGCAACUCCCACCAUUUAAGCAGUUUAAGAACUAUGGGCUCAAGGGUCCAUUUGGUCAAAAGUGAGACAGAGGCUUUAGAGUAUGACUACUGGGUUCACACCUGGCCCUGCCACUUACAUGUCAGCUGAUCGUGGGUGAAACACUUAAUGAUUCUGUUCUCAGUUGACAGACUAUAGUAGGAUCUCAAUAAAUAAUCUGCACUAGUGCUCCUGGCAUAGCCGGUGGACCCACAGCUGAACGCUAGAACUGUAAGCACACAGUGGGGUAGUGAAGCAUGUCUGCUGUCUUUUUCCCCACUCGGAAGGUGCACAGAGCCCUCAAACUCGUGGGAGAUCUUUCCGGAAUUCUGAGCUUAUGAGGGAAGGACUGAUACUUGCUGUGUCAGAGCACCAUUCCCUGGCAGUGUCCCUUUGGUGGAAGCUCAGUAGAGGCCGUGAUUGUUCGUUUCCUUGAGUGGGUGGAUGUCAGUCUCAUGCAAGUGCUGACUGUGAGGGAAAAGUUUUUGCGUGAGUUUGGGGAGGCAAGGAAGACAGAGUGGACUUGCGACUCAAGAACCCCAGAUUAAAAGGGGGAAAUGACAAAAGAAGAAAGGGAAGCUUUAACAUCCUAAGCUUUUCUUAUGAAAAGGGGGGUUUAUAAUUCCCUUUAAAAGAAAGCAUAUCAGAUCAAAAGCAAGGGCAAAUAAAUGUAAAAUAAAUCACCUUAGGUGACUCUAAAUGGCUUUCCCAGCACUCCUUAGCUCCAAGACAUGAGGGUGAGGUCAGCUGGGAGAGAGAUAGGAGGAGAACCUUAGACUGCCUGGAAAAGUCCAGACUGCUCUGUGCAUACCCAUGGACUUCUACCUUCUCCCUCUAUCUGCCCUUUUGUUUGUCUUUAUAAAUUGUGAGAACGAGGCAGGUGUAUGGAGAUACAGCACAGAAACCAAACAAGUGGACUGUACCCACCAAAAUGCCAAGAAUGCACACUCACAACUUGCACAUUUAGUUGUACAAAACUUGGCCUCAGAAGUAAAAACAAAACGGUAUGUGUAAACACCAACUCUAGUCAUCUCCACACGCAACAGCAACAUUUACGUAAGGGAAAGUGUACAAUUUUCUGCCAUCACAGUGUGGAAUGUUCCAUGAACUGAUGAAAGUUUGAAGGGUGCACCUGUGUGUGCAUGAGAACAUGGGUAAAGUGGCAGAAUCUAGCCAGUGAGUACAAAGGUUACACUGCACCACAUCAUGUGUGUGAGUGCACGUGUGUGUAGGUUUGUGUGCACAUGCAUGGGACACAAGUGGAGGGCAAGACAAACUCGGGUGUCAAUUCUCAGGAGUCUUGGGCACUUACACGCUUUGAGAGAGUCAGUCCUGCACUAGUCUGGGAUUUUGCUACCUGGACUAGAUUUGGUGGCCUGAGCACUUCCAGGGAUCCACCUGCCUCUGCCUACCACCUUCUCUUGCCAAAAUUAUAGGAGUGUAUAACUGGGCUGGCUUCUGGGUUCUUCGUGGGAACAUGGGUUCUGGGGAAUUGAGCCAAGGUUCUCAUGUUUGCAAGGCUAACUGAGCUGUCUCCCCAGACCCUUGCACUAUUAAAUUCUUCCUUUUGGGGGAGGGUAUAUCUGUAAAUGCUUAAAGAAAACUCUUGGAAAACUAAAGAAUUUUGUGAAGAAACCAAUAUUAAUUACUUCUCUUAGGGAAGUCUUUUUUUUUUUUUAUUAACUUGAGUAUUUCUUAUAUACAUUUCGAGUGUUAUUCCCUUUCCCAGUUUCCGGGCAAACAUCCCCCUCCCCCCUCCCCUUUCUUAUCGGUGUUCCCCUCCCCACCCUCCCCCCAUUGUCCCCCUCCCCCCAACAGUCUAGUUCACUGGGGGUUCAGUCUUAGCAAGCUUCCCCUUCCACUGGUGCUCUUACCAGGAUAUUCAUUGCUACCUAUGAGGUCAGAGUCCAGGGUCAGUCCAUGUAUAGUCUUUAGGUAGUGGCUUAGUCCCUGGAAGCUCUGGUUGCUUGGCAUUGUUGUACAUAUGGGGUCUCGAGCCCCUUCAAGCUCUUCCAGUUCUUUCUCUGAUUCCUUCAACGGGGGUCCUAUUCUCAGUUCAGUGGUUUGCUGCUGGCAUUCGCCUCUGUAUUUGCUGUAUUCUGGCUGUGUCUCUCAGGAGCGAUCUACGUCCGGCUCCUGUCGGUCUGCACUUCUUUGCUUCAUCCAUCUUGUCUAAUUGGAUGGCUGUAUAUGCAUGGGCCACAUGUGGGGCAGACUCUGAAUGGGUGUUCCUUCAGUCUCUGUUUUAAUCUUUGCCUCUCUCUUCCCUGCCAAGGGUAUUCUUGUUCCCCUUUUAAAGAAGGAGUGAACCAUUCACAUUUUGAUCAUCUGUCUUGAGUUUCAUUUGUUCUAGGCAUUUAGGGUAAUUCAAGCAUUUGGGCUAAUAGCCACUUAUCAUACCACCCUGAACGCGCCCGAUCUCGUCUGAUCUCUUAGGGAAGUCUUAGUGUUAGGAAGGAUUUAAAGACCUGAUGUCCUCAUGCGGACUUUCAAAAGCUUAGAAGUUACAAGGGGAUCUAGUGAACUCUCAGAAACCAAUUUGAUAGGUCUGGUUGGGAUACAAAGUUCUUCACUGCUCACUGGCCCCCAUGUGACACUGCUGAGGUGACAGCCACACUUUGCCCAGACUAACAGGGCAAGAAGGGGGCAGCAAGGCAGAGGCUGUGAGAAAGGAUUGCAAAGGUCACCAGAGGGAACUGAAAUAGAGCCUGCACUUUGAAGAAGCGUGGAAUGGUUGAAUCUUAGCCAAAGGGCUCAACAUGAACAUGACCUGGGCAGGCUAGAAAAAUUAUAAUUAGGGGAAUUAAGUAGCUGAAAAUCACUGCAAGUAGAGAUUAUAAUAAAUGUGGGUAAUUCUAUAUUUAUAUUUUAAAACUUCCUCCAUAUUAUUUCCUUGCUUGAAGCAUAUUCUUAUGCUAAUGUAUAUUAACUGCCUACACAUGACUAAUUUUAAACAAGGGUUCUAUUUAUCUUAGAACAGCAAAAAACAUUAUUUUCUGUAAUUUUUUUAAGGGUGUUUAUCCUUUGUUUGUAGCAUGGCCAUACCUUUCACACUAUUGUAUGACUCUGGGUAUCUUGGUACAGCAUAGGCCUCAUUGCCCAGGAUAGCAGCCAGUACUUACAAAUGGCUAUUUUGAAAUUAGGUAAAAUUAAAAACUCAUUUUUUUAAAACACUAGUCAUACCAAGUACUUUAUAGCAAUGUGUUAACUUACUAAACAAGAUUAAAAUAGACUAUUCUUACCAAGACAAAAAUCCCAUUGCUGUAGUCACUUGUAAUAAAAUAAUUCACGGCAAAGGCCAAUCAUAUUUAUAAGCAAUUCAUAUAUUUUAGUUGGUUGGACUGCAUAUACAAAUGCCCCUUUUGACAUCUAGUUCCAAGAUGCCUUUAAGAUAAUGUAUUAUAUUGAUUACAUUAGGUGGUAUAGCUCUCUGUCCAAGAACCAGAUGACUAAGGGAGAUAAUUUCCACCCCUUUUAGCUUCUGGUGAUGUUAUGGAUUGCCAGGGCUAUGACCUAUUAGUGUUUCUAUUACUGAUAUGGGAUAUUAGAAGUACUCAAUAAAUAUUUGUUGAAUGAAUCAUUUCUUCAUUUGCUUACCAUACUGUAAAACUGAAGCAGAUUUAGAUAUGAGGAUUUCUAAGUAUUUAGUAUUUAGAGAUCUGGAAAAGAAUCUCCUCAGACUAAAAUAUAACCAGAGAAGCAGAAACUUCAAAAACUUACCCACUUUUACUUUUGUAUUAGGAACAGUGGGAUCUUUCAAAGAAGAGGAAGAGGAGGAGGGAGAGGAGUAGGGGGGAGGAGGAGGGGGAGGAGGAGGAGGAGCAGCAGCAGCAGCAGCAGCAACAACAACAAAGUAAUAGUCUACCCAACACAACAACAACAACAACAACAACAACAGAGUAAUAGUCUACCCAACACAAGCUUGUCUCCGAACACGGAUUUCUUCAGGAAGCAAGAGUAGUCCAGGCUUAAUUUAAUAUGCUAAAUGUUUACUGAAGUUUAUGGGGACAUGGCCCUUUCAGAGCAACCACAAAAGUAACUUUCCUUUUUGAAGUUGUGGUUUUUCUUCACAGAGUAGAAGGCAGGAGCCUGAAUUCCAUAUGAGCCUGGAAUAAUUUCUCAGCACCUGAGAGUGGGCCAAGCUGGACAGGGUGCCAGAAACAUCCAUUUCAAUGAAAAGAACGUGGAGGACAACAGUCAUUUCACAACCUAGAAUUUUCCCAGCAAUGCAAUUUCUCCUUUGUGUAUUUGAGCAUCUCUCCUGGUGCUAUAUUGAUUUGGGGAUAGGAAAAUAAUCACUAUUCAUAAAUAUAAUAUUACAGUAGACAAUGGCUUAUCUAAUGUUCAGUUCAAUUGUUCUUUUUGGAGUUCAGGAAGUUGAAUCCUCACAAAGCUGUCCAUAGUCCCAUGGGCAGAACUGAGACACACACCAUGCCCGUGUACACAGAGUAUGGACGCAAUGCUCUUGGAGUGGAAACACCACUAACCUGGCGGUCAACUAAGUUUACCGUGGAUCUACAAGGAGAUAAGGAGCAUGCAGAAAAGAUGCUUGUUGUUGCACUGAAACAACCCAAAGUAUGGAUGUCUGGGAGGUGGGAAGAACACUUUUUUAAGAUAUUAUUGGUUGUUUUUGAGUUGAUUUGCACCAGGGGGUUUCGUUUUUUGAUUCUUGUUUUUUUUUUAACAUGUAUGUGUUUUGCUCACAUGUAUGUUCAUGCACCUUGUGCUUGCCUGAUGCCUGUAGAGGCCGGAAGAGGGGAUGCCCUGGGAGUAAGAGAGUUGUAAGAAACAAUUCUAGGUUCUCUGGACCAGCAGUCAACACUCUUAACCACAGAGCCAUCUCUUUAGUGCCAUCAUCAGAGGUUUGUAUGAUUUCAGGACUUUUGUAACUUGACCUGUAUGUGACAUAUGUGACAUAUGUACUUCCCUCAAAGAUGAAAAAGCACUUAUGAUUAUUGAAUGGGCGAAAAUCCAGGCCAGUGAAAAUGAAUGAACAAGUAAGUCAGUGCAUGAUCCGGCCAUAUUUGCUUCCAGAGCAUUUAGGCUGGCAGCUAGGAAAAAUGAUGGAUGUGUAGAACAUUGAAACGCUGUGACUUUUUUUUUUUGAUUCAUUAACAACUAUGAGCUGAAAAAUAAAAAGCCCUCUAUUUUUUAAAAUGUCUCUCAUGCAGGAGUAGACACAGUAUUAACUUUUAAAGGUCUUCUAAUCUAGGCAGAGUUCUGUCAUGAAGAAAACUCAUCAGAGUCUGCCCAUGCAUGUGUGGACCUCUCCAUUUUUUCUCAGCCCCUUCCCAUGACCAGUCUGGGGCUCUGCCCCUCAUCCCUGGUCACAGGUCCCGAAUGUCAUUCACAGGCAAACUGGAAGCACAUCUGGACACCAUCUAGCCCUUUCAAAAGCCACAUUCAAAUUUAAUUGACGAGAGAAUUAAACUCGGUAUAAGUAAAAUGAAUUUUUAAUGAUUUGCACGUGAAUUUAAUGAUUACCCCUUCUCUCAGCCCUACAACCUCAAACAUGGCAACACUAUCUUAAUACACACAAUUGAAAGGUCUGUCAGAAGCAGCUAAGGAAAGAAAAGCCACAGCGUGUGGCUGAGCGCUGCUAAAUAAACCCUGUGAUAUCUAAGUGCUUGGCACAUGUUUGCUGAAAUGGUAGGAUAUUCUGUCUUAAUGAUUUGCAUUUAUUUAUUUAUUUAUUUAUUUAUUUAUUUAUUUAUUUAUUUAUUUAUUUAUUUGAGCAAUGUCCACUUUAUUCGUUCUCCACCUAACAUGAGAAGAAAACCCAAACAAAACACCUGCAUUACAAUUUUUCAAGAUAAAAGCUUCAUCUCUUCUAUUUUUCCAUUUCUACAAUUAUCACAAACCAAAAAUUAGUGCGUUUCCCCCUGAUGACUGGAUGUCGUCACUGGCGUUUUCCCCCGGAUGACUGGAUGUCGUCACUGGCACACUGCCUCACAGAGAUAAACACUAACACUCACAACUUUCACUAAAACCUUUGAGUAAGCAAAUCUCCAGGCGGAUUGACCUUCCAGGCUGGCUGCAGCAAAUUCACCCCCUCAACUCCCAUUUCAAAACAAUUUAAAAUAAAUAAUCUCACCCUGCAGGGUAGUGGUUCUGCUUUUUACAAAUCUCUAACUCCAAAGGGAAGGAUUUCUUGGAGUCAGACUUCUUCCUCCUGCACAUUUGAACUCAAGAUACAAUCUGGGGGGGAAAUGGGGUAGAGGGGAGAGGGGAGGUUAGAAAGUUGAUCUGGUGCCCCUUGAGCUGAGGAAAUCAACGGUCACACUGUAGAAUUGUAUAGUGUGAAUUCCGAAAGAGACUUUCAGGGCGGUUUGCUGUGAUCCAAGAUGAUAACUUUCCUCCUUUUGGGUUGCUUCCACAUCCCUCCCAAUCAGGGUAUGCAGACUCUUGCUCCACAGUGUGUGAGGAGAGGGUGGAGAAUCAUUAGACAUGGCCGCCCAACCCACAGGUGCUCUCCGGGAGAGUCCCUAAAUAACAAAGGAGCUCUGAGGCUGUAACUGACAGGACCUACGGAGAUGAUGUUCCGUACCAUCCCAUACAACAGCUCACAGGCUGAGUGGAGGAGAAGAUCCUUGGAUUUUAUACAAAAUACAUGCUCCGAAAGGCUUCGAGAGCUGUUAGCUUUUGAAUCCGGGUCUUGUUGUGGAGCCCAGGUUCAUCUUAACCUUAAAAAGUUUCCCAUCUCCCUCCUAUGCGUGCACUGCUAUACCCUGUCUAGAAAGGUCACUCCCAAAAGUAUAUAUUUAAGAUCAUUUGGGGGUUUAGAACACAGCCUAUUUAUGGUUAAGUGAAGCACUUAAAAUAAUCAUGAUUACUAAAUACCUUAGAGCUGAUACAUUAGAUAUGCCCAUUAAAAAUGUUUUGAAUUUGGUACAUCUUUUUCUUCUCCUGAUUGGCAUAUAUAUAUUAUAUAUACAUGUAAACACACAUAUGUAGAGAUAAAUGAUAUAAUGGUAAUAAAUGUGCUCUGUGAAUUUAAGUGCUAUAAGAGAAGUUUGUGAGAAAAACGAAGGAAAGGAUUAAUAGGAAGAAAGAUGCUAAGUAGGAACUGUGCUUGAAGCAAUAAAUAAUGAUUGGGACAGGAGUGAGAUAGUGAAGGUAGCCUAGGAAUGAAGGGACGCCCAUGUGGAUGACAGAGAGAAGUGAAUGCAGGGGUUGAAGAGACAGCUCAUAGGUAUCAUCUCCAGGGGUACCAGGCACUCACAUGGUACCCAGACAUAGAAGAAGAGGGUUAAAGAUGUAACCAAGUUAAGGUCAAUGGGCUGCAUGAAUAGGAUCCCAGAGUUUAAGGACAGAUCGGUUGGGCCAACAAAUAUGGAAAAUCCUGUACGUGGACUCAGAGUUCGGGCUGCUAAGGCAGGCGAUCAAGACUGCUAAUGAUUUCUGAGCAAAGAAUGGCACUGGAAGCCUUCAGUGGGGAUGUGCAAGAGAGGAGACAACCGAAGACAGCAGCAGCGUGGAGUCUGCGGCAGAACCCUAGUUAAUGAACUGCUUCCAGAACCAGGGCAGUGGCAGGGGUGAUGAAAAGAAAGAGUCUAGUAGUUAGGCCGUCUUCAAGAAUGUCUGACUGACAGAGAAAUGGAAUAUUUUCCCUGAGCUACUGAGAACCUCUCUGUGUGGAUCAAGAAUUGUCUGUGGUUAUGUGAAAACACAAAGUAUUUAAAGACGUAGAGUUUACCAUUCACGCUGGGCAACAGGGUGUCUCGAGGUCUUGUAUAACUCUGUGUCCAUUUCAAAUCCACGUCUUUGCAUCAGAAUAGUGCCCUAUCCUACCCUCAAGAAGAAACACCCACCGUGAAAACUGUUCAUGAAGAGGAGAGAAAAAAGACCAAACCAGAGAGUUAUGCUUAGCCAAUCCUUUUGCUAGCUGCCUCCUCCUUUUUCCCGGAAGCGUGCCUGGAAUUACCGAGACAGGACCACCACUGUUAUGGGACCUUGCCUCUAGAACUUUGUAAUCCCAUUGCUCUGAGCUCGGUUCAAGGCGAGUGGUCCACAUGUUACACGACUUAAAAAACAGACACCAGCUGGAUAAGAUAUGGGUGCUGUGGAAACCCAGCCAGGAGGCAGCUGAACAGUGCCCAGAAAACGUCCUCCAUCAAAUGAGACACUACCCAGAUCCCAGCUGGGAGUUCCACUGCUGCAUUCGGCUUAGGGGUUGUUUAUUUUUGCCUUUUGGCUCAGAUCUUUCAUUCCUGUCCUUGUCUCCUCUUGUGUCUCCUCCCUUUCUCUCUUUCUCUAUCUUGGCAGUUAGAAGUCUACUCUGUGCAUGCCUAUGCCCUAGCUUCUAAAACCACCAUCUAAAAAUACAUCUUGCUACAACAUGCCUCAUCUCCUGUAGGUGGCCCAUUUAAGAAUGGACAGCAAAGCUACGUAUCAUGUCGCCACUGUCCUUCGAUGCACUUAGCCUGUAUAUUAAAGACUCAGAAAUAAAGUCAUCACAAUUUACAGGAAAAAAUUAAUACACGAGUGACUCGAGUGGCAUUUUUCAGCCAACACCCCCACUUUUUUUGUUUUUUGGGGGGGUUUUUUUGGGUGCUGGGAUUAUGUAAUCAGACAUAAUUGUCCCCACAUGUUUGUUACACUGUCUCAGAAAUGAUUUCCAGCCCACCAGAUGAUGUCAGAAGGGUCAAUACUGGAUGUCUACCCAACCCUGACCCCAUGAAGCACUGCUUACUACAGUACUGCAGUUAGGGAUUAAAAUAGGCCACAUAAGAAACUGUCAGACCCACUUUGCACUGAGUCAUAAGGACUUCCUUCAGUUUUUUUCUUUUUUGGCAUACAUCUGCAUUUUUUUUGUUCCCACCUCUUCUACAGUCUUCACAGUCUUCUCUUUCAUUUAAUGCACAAAAUCAUUUCUGGAAAAGUCUAGUAUCUCAUAAACGCUCAGCAAUACCCAGAUGUGUGUGCACUUAAUUCUCUAGCCAGUCAGCUCCUUCCUUCACUUGGAUUCUUUGAGAAUGCGAGGGCCACAUGGAGCACUGUGCUCUCCUAAGCAUGUGGCCCAGCCAGCCAACAUUAACACGUUAUCAUAGUUAUGAUUGUUAUCAUAGGCACAAUAUGGAGACAAGCUCCUCUCUGGACUUUCCUAGAAAAUGGCAUGACUGUUGAAAGUGUGUUCAACAGGACAGGCUGACCUUGCCUUUCUUUGCAAAGAGAGAACGGUAGUUAAGAAAUGAGCUCAGCAAGAUUCUGCCUGAUAACAGGAGAGAAAGAAUUCUUAACUGUAAGUAGCAAUAGAUGUCACCCCUCAAAAUUACUACCUAGUGACUGGCUUAUUUUUACCAUGUCCUUACCAAGACUGUUACCACAGGUACUAGCCAAACCAUGUAUGAGGCUCUCAAAUUAUGUGAAACCUUCGAUGUUAAGCAAGGGACCACAAAUCCAUGUCUCCGAUGAUUCUAUUCAGUGUUCUAUUCAGACCGUUCUGAUGAAGCUGUCUCUGUGAGGGCUGCAUCAAAACUGUUAUACAUCACCUACUCUUUGUCUUUUACGGGAUAAGAAUUCUUCUUCUUUACAUGUAUGUGGUUUAUAUAUGUGCUUGUGUGGGAUGUGCAAGUUGGUAUGUGUACAAGUGCUGGGUGUGUGUGUGUGUGGAGGCCAAAGGUUAAAGUUUGGUGCCUUCCUCCACUGCUGUUCACUUCCUUUCUUAAGACUGGGUCUCUCUCACUGGCUAAAGAGCUCUAGGGGUCUCCCUGUCUCUGCUUCCCUAGUGCUGGGUUUAUGGAUGUGUGGCCAGAUGACUUUUUACAUGGGCACUGUGGAUACAACCUUAGAUGUUCAUACUCAAAUAGCCUGAUGGAGCCAUCAGCCCUACCAUUCUCUGAUUUUAAAAUAAUUAUUCUUCAUCUGAUGAAAUAAUUGUUCUUCUCUUGAUUCCUUCCAGAUAUGCCAUAAUUGGGUAGGACAAGACUCAAUGCAGAGGCAAAGGGGCCACCUCCCACAUCCUCACAGACAUUAUACUUCAAUUAGAACAGACUGAGAUCACAUUAUUAAAUCACAUCAUAUUGCCUUCCUUCCCACUCCCGUUGUUAAAAAGUUAUUUUAACAAUACCAAUAGCAAUGAACAAUAGCACGGUUCUCCAUCAACUAACCGAAGCUCUGCUUUCUUCAUCAAUUCCGAGCCAAUCAUCCCACGAGAGUCUCCUGUGACCUCUAAAAUCCUGGAAAUCACCCCUGAACUGAAGAACAACCUCCUUUUCCAGGCUUCCCUCACGUCCCAGCUUGCUGUCAUCGCCGCUGAGAUAGCAGACGGUUGAUCUGAGAAAUCAAGUUGGAUUGCUGUCCCGAAUCUACACUUGGUUCUCCUUGUGUCUGUCUGAUCGAUUUCACUCUGUGCGACAUAGCUUGUCGCUAUGAAUUUUCAUGCUAGUCAGGAGCCGCCAGCGCACCCAAGAACAAGUGGAAGAUGGUCCACACCCCCUCCCUGUCCCUUCAACAUACUCGGCCUUGUCAAUUUUUGAAAAUCAUCUAUUGACAGAUUGGAAAAAUGGUGUUUUAUUCUUAUGGCCAUAGACCUGGAUGCAAUGGAUUUGGGCCC